GGAGGCGUGGCCGAGUGGUUGAAGGCGGCAGUCUUGAAAACUGUUGUACCGCAAGGUACCGUGGGUUCAAAUCCUACCGCCUCCGCCA
rnacentral:tRNA from 1 species